rnacentral:rRNA from 1 species
UACGAAGGGGGCGAGCGUUGUUCGGAUUUACUGGGCGUAAAGGGCGCGCAGGCGGCGGACCAAGUCAGGCGUGAAAGCCCCGGGCUUAACCUGGGAGGUGCGUCUGGGACUGGUUGGCUAGAGUUCGGGAGAGGAGAGUGGAAUUCCCAGUGUAGAGGUGAAAUUCGUAGAUAUUGGGAAGAACACCGGUGGCGAAGGCGGCUCUCUGGACCGAGACUGACGCUGAGGCGCGAAAGCGUGGGGAGCAAACAGG